UCAUUAUCUUGAAAUGAUAAACCAUCAAAUUUGUCCGUAAAAUGGUCUUCAUACUGCUUCCGCACUUUAGAGAGUAGCUCCACAUCAACGUGUAGAACAUAUAAUAAGGGAGCCAAAAGUUCAUGCAUUCCUUGUCUAUAACCAUACUCAGGAUGUCUAAGGCACCACAAUAACAAAAUUCUUCUUAACAUUCCCUGACAUCCAG
rnacentral:misc_RNA from 1 species